UGAAGCAAAGAAGGGUAGAUG
rnacentral:piRNA from 1 species